rnacentral:lncRNA from 1 species
GAUAAACAAUUGGUAGAACCGAGUGAUUUUUUGGUUGCAUUACGGAGCUAUUAAAUAAAAAACCAGCGACUCCUAACAGCAAAGGAGAUUCAAAAAUUAGAGUUGGACUACAAUGAAUUUGUGAUGAACUAUUUUGUUUAUCAUCAACAAUCCAAUACUGUGGCUGAAUACGAGGACUCGUUUUUGCAACUUAAAAGGUGGACAGAUAUUUGGAAUGAAGAAAAACUUGAUGAAGACUGGGUUGUGAGCCAAUUUGUUGCUGGGCUAAAGGAAGAGAUCGGAAAACGUGUGAAAUUGGGGUCUCCAGAUUCCUUACAAAGAGCCAGUGUCUUAGCAAAAUGGCAAGAGUUGUGCCUUGUAUAUAAGGUGUUUGACAAUAGUUUUGAGCCAACUGCAGUUAAAGUUAAUUCAGAGUUCAUAGAAGAUUCUUCAUGUCUAUUUGUUUGCCUCCUUUCCAUCCUCAUCGCUUAUAAAUGAAUGUCGGUGUCUUGCGUUUUGAUGAAAUGCCAAAAUGGGAUAAAAACCCUUGGAAAUCUAUGUUGAGGAGUUAUGGUUUGUAUUGGGGUGAAAGAGGAAAGUUUGAGAGUAAUGAGUUUUCUUUUUGCCAAUUCUUGACAUUAGAUUCUCGGCAUUAUGCUUAUUUGGUUGUGAUUGUUAACUAUGAAUUCUACUGGAUAUUUGGCACUAUUGAGCCUAUACAAAUAGCAUAUUUGGACUUCAUAGAUUGUGCCUACAAGCAGGCACAACAAUUAGAGCCUAAUGGAAAAUUCUAGAACUCUGCGACAUCAUUAAGCAAGCAAAGGCAUGGUAUAACAUUAGUAAUUGAUCUUUUAAACUAUAUUACUGAAGUGUUACGCCGCAGGGACCAUGUGGAGUACAUAUUAAAAGGAAACCAGCUCACAGAUACAAAG